rnacentral:rRNA from 1 species
CUUGUACACACCGCCCGUCACACCAUGGGAGCGGGUUCUGCCAGAAGUAGUUAGCCUAACCGCAAGGAGGGCGAUUACACGGCAGGGUUCGUGACUGGGGUG